rnacentral:rRNA from 1 species
UGGGGAGUGACGUCAAGUCUCAUGGCCCUUAUGGGUAGGGCUUCACACGUCAUACAAUGGUCGGGACAGAGGGUCGCCAACCCGCAGGGGGAGCCAAUCCCAGAAACCCGAUCGUAGUCCGGAUUGUAGUCUGCAACUCGACUACAUGAAGUCGGAAUCGCUAGUAAUCGCGGAUCAGCAUGUCGCGGUGAAUACGUUCCCGGGUCUU